UUGGAUCCAGUUGAUUGAACCAUCUUAACCUACAACUUUUCCCUGAUGAUCAUAUUUGCAAAACUCAUCAGUUUAUAAUAGUUACCUUCGUAUAGCUACACUUUUAUUAUUUUAUAUAUAUACAUAUAUAUCAUCAUUUCUUCAUUUACAUCCGUAUCUUUGAAAAUUAUGGAUUUAAAAAAUGAUGAGGCGCAGAAAGCUAAUCGUAGUUCAAAUUUAUGAAAUACCGGUGUUUGGAGCUGAUUAAAUUUUGAUACAUGAGAACCUUAAUCAUAAGUAUUGCAAGAGUAAUAGAGCUACAAAAAAUUUUUUCACAAACUAGUGUGGACAAAUUGAUGUGGCAUGAAGUGGUUGGCUAAAAAAUGUUAAUAAUUAUUUUUUAACUAAUUAAUUAUAUGGGUCUGUAAUGGUUUUAUUUAUCCAAUUUGCUCAUACCACAUCAAUUUGUACAUACUUAAUUGUACAAAAUGUUUGUGACUAUCAUUGUUCUAAAUAUAAAGUUUUAUUUCGUUAUAAUUAUUAAUAAACUUUUAGAGUUACACAUUCAGAACAAUGAAUCAAAACCCUAGAAAUAUAAAAAUAUUAUUUAUGUUUGUCGCACUAUAUAUUUUUUUAUGCAAAAUAUAUAAUUUAAGUAGAGCUGGGUAGGUACCUGAUCUCCCUUGGAGCUUUUCAGCUAUGGCGUUCCAGUUAUGGGGACCGUAGCGUUCGACCAACUCUCGAAGCUUCUCAUCUUCGGCUGGCCUCCAAUGUCCUCUGGUGCACAUAUCUGAUCUUUAAAUAUAUUAAUAUAUGUAGGAAACCUCAACCACAACAACAACAACAACAACAAAGCAAUAACUGUAGCAAAACCCUAGCUCAACAACAACAACAGCAACAGCAACAGCAUGUGUUUUCUUCUUUCAUGUCCGAUCAAGCUCAAGCUCAAGCUCUUUGAUGAAGGAAAGAAACUCGAUGAUUGGUUGGCUUGUGUAUAGGUUUUGAGAAAGUAUAAGAAGAUGAUGAGAAUAAAAUUAAUAUAUAUAUAUAUAUAGAAAGAAAGAAAGAAAGAGAAAGUGUUUGAUAUAAUUUCCGUUAGAGAGUGGGAGGGUUUGGGCAGACUUGUUGUUACAAGGGAGAGAUUGAUGCAAACGUCUGGGCUAACAAACGUUUAUAAGUAAUCAAUUAGGAAUCACCUAUACAUGAUCAGCAAAGGAAAGAGAAAGAGAAGGAGAGAGACGGAUGGAUAGAUAGAGGUUGCUUGGUGGGGUGAUUUUCGUUCUGCUUUCAACAUCUUUCCCAAGUUUCUAACCUACUUAUAACCCACCUCUCAUUUAUUCUUUCUUUUCUUUUCCUUUCCUUUCCUUUUUAUUUUUACCGAAAUAAUAAUAAUAAUAAUAAUAAUAAUAAUAAUAAUAACAACAACACUAGCAUUUGAUUUUUACUAAUUAACUUUAAUAUUCUUGUUAUCAGACCCUCUCAUGUAUAAAAGGAAUAAUGCAUUAGCACAUGUUUCAAAUUAUUUUCUCUUUAAAUGGUGAAAAUUUAACAAAUUAAAGUGUAUAUGUGUUAAAAUAUUAUUAGAUAGAUGCAUAAGUGCGCAUUAGUCCCAUAUAAAUAAGUUUUUCUCUCCCAAAUAUAGAUUAAUUUCAAUCAAAUAAUUCUUAGUUAGUGCAUAUUUACAUAGUAAUCCAAAACACAGACCAACGAUGAUUCUCAUAUAAUAGAUCUAAUGAGACUAGUAUUUAAUAUAAUAUCACAUAGUACAUGAACAAGAAUAUUACUGCAUCACAUAUAACAAUACAAACUUGAGACCUGUCUAACUUAGAAAUAUCAUAGUUAAAAUUCAGCUUAUUUAACCGGGACUUGUCUCGAUGUACCAUAGUUAAUUAGAUUGGAUUUGACAUUAAUCACGUCCGAUAGAAUCUAAACUUCUUAUCAUAGAUUACUUCUGCUUUGUAAUUAAAUAGACGAAAAAGUUGACCGUGACCUUAGUUAAUGUAGUCCAAAACUUAAAAUAAGAAUAUAAGGAGUCAAGAUUGCUAUUAUGCAGUGUAUUUUUAUGACACACGAAAACAAUUUAUUAAUUAAUUUAGUAAGAACAGUGAUUAAUGAAUAAAAUAAAAUAAGGAUAUUGGUAUUGUUGUUAGAGACUACGGAGUUGUGUGAUGUCAUUUGAUCACCUUUCGGACCUAACUAACCAUUUAGCCAAAGCAAGAACUAACCUUUGAACUGCACGUGGAAACUGAAGCAGCCGUCGUUUAACUGCUUCUUUUUAGUCAAACAUGUCAUCUAGUCUUUUCCCUAGUUGUGUUGCUGCAGUUAUAAUGAUAAAGUUACACUAAUAUCCCAAAACUCUCGUGGAUUGUCAAAUUUUAACAAAACUCAGCAAUUAGCUAGCUUAAUCAAGCUUACAAAUGAUCUCUUCUUUCUCUCUCGAAUUGGCCGCAGUGUGUGUAUUAAUCAGCGUACAUAUACAUAUACACAUGCACACACACUACAUUUGCGUGCACAUGGCUUCACAAAUCGAAAAAAAAAAAACUAUAUUUAUUGAGUUAAAAAAAAAAACAAAGAAUCGGUACUAGAAAUAAAUGUAAAACAAAAACAUAUGUUUGCAUGAUCCAAGUAUAUGACAUUCGGGUUGUUAAUUUUAUAUGUUAUCAUUAUGAGUACUAAUAUAGUUCUAAACUCUUGUAUAAAUUCUAUUUGCACAAACUGAUGUGACAUAAUUAAAUUGGAUGGAUUAAAUAUCUCUUGCUCCACAUAAUUUAUUUUUAUUAUUUUGUAUUUUUAUUUAACUAAUGAGUUAAUGUCAAAUCAUUUUGUACAAAAUAAAUUUGUAUAAGAGUUUAUGAUUGUAUCAUCACUUAUAUAUUAUUAUUAGGCUUAUCUAUCAAUUUAAACUUUUGGGUCAAUUAGAACCAAACCUCAUGUUUGAAUCCCACUAUGUAGUGAAUCCUUUUUAUUAUUUCUUCAAUUUUUUUAACUCACUUUCAAUGUUAAGACUUUUUUUGCAUACUAUUAUUGGACCUGCACUUAAUUACUUAUCAGUUUAAGCUUUAGAGUCAAAAGACUUCUCUAACACACCUUAAAUCGUCUCAGUCAUAAUAAAAUUUUAAAAAUUGUCAAAUAAAUUAACAAGAAUGUUAUACUAUUAGUCUUUUCGUCAUUUAUACAUUAACUUCAAGUUCAAUAGAAUUGAGUGUUGAGGAGAUCAUCUUACAAGUAUAUAAAGUCUUGGAUAACCUUGAACUCAUGAAUUAUUUUUUGAAUGAGUUAAUUCCAUAAACUAUCAUAGACAUAUACACAUUUAUACAUUACUCUAUAAUUACCUUCUCAAUAGUCAUAGUCACGGUCAUCUUAUAACUAGUUUUUUAUAAUCAAAGAUUAUAUCCAAACUUUUAUGUGGAAUGUUGUGCAUCAAUAAUAUCUUCCGUACAUAUAUGGAAGAAGAGAAAAUUUUGAUCCAUAAUUUGUCUGAGCAACCUUGAAGGGAGUAUUUAGUAGUUAGGUAUAUGAUGAGACAACAUAUAUUACAAACACUUGCAAUUACGAAAGCAAUGGCAUAACUUACUGCAAUAUUGAUAACACAUGAUUUUUAUGAGCUUAAAGUCGAUGAUGCUCAUGACUUCACGGGGAUGAUGAAAUGUAAGGAAGCUUCAUUAUGCUUAUGUUAUACUACUCCAGAAAUAUAAUUAAUGCAUGAAUGAAAUUGAUUAGCUCUAAUAGCUCAAAUAUCACUUCUUCCAUGCACCAAUGACAAAAAUUACCUACACAAUUUCCAAAUACAGGCUUGUAUUUUGUUGAUAACUUGCUGUGUUAAUCCAUUGCAAAAUAUAUUAAAAUUGGAUAAAACUCUCUCAUAAGCUCUUUUUUUAAAGAGAUAUUGUAGCUUUGUCCCCGAUCGUUUUCAAUUUUUAUUAUUUACCCUUUUAUAGAUUUCAUAAUCAAUAAUAUUAAACUUUCCAUUUAUCAUUCCAGCAUUUUCAUUUUAUUUAGUGCCACUCACCAAUUAGAUAAUAAAUUUUAUUACUAGUAAAUUUACUUUCUUUAACAUUUUUCAUAUGCCUACGUGAAUGCUACCUCUAUUAGAAUGAUCGUGGUUGGGAUAUUAAUUGGAGAGUGUAACGUUACUAUUUCGUAAUAGCCCGUUACUCUCCUGAGUUUCAAAGUGAGGAUUAUGACAUGCAACAAAGCAUUACAGAAACUAUAAGGUUAGUAAUUUAGUAGAGAAAGUGUCAUUCUCUUUUUUUUUUAAAAAAAAAAAACCCUGUAUAUCAUAUUAUUACUUGUAUAUUGAGAAGAUUAGUUCAUGUAUUAUAAUCUACGUUAUUAGCCAUCAAUCAUCAAUAUGUAUUUCAUUGAAAAGCUGGACUUCAAUUUAUAUUUAAAAACAAGUAUUCUUUCUUGAUCUGAGUUUUAUUUAGAGAUCCAUUUUUAAUCGCACUGAGUUUUAUUUUAGAUGUAUAAAUCACUUUUUUUGCUAUAUGGAAAAAUUAUUAGCACUAAUCACACUUUUAGUGGCUAUAAGAAAGAUCUAUUAGCACUUAGUACUUCAAUAAUGCUAUGUUUAUUUAAUUUAUAUAUUUAAUUGAAAUACUUAAUAAUGUGACACCAAUCAUUUAAUGCCGAUAUAAAUUAAUUUUAUUAUUAAUUAUUAACCUAUUUUUUCACAACCCACUUAAUAGAUUACAUAUCGAAUUAACUCAUUCGCAGUGUCAUCUAUGUAGCUCAGGAGACAAGUUAUGAUCCAACGUCAGCUGGCAUGCGAAGUACGCUUUGCCCACUCAUAAUCCAACGGCCCAAAAUAAAUCAAUCAUAAUUCUAUUUUUUUUUUUAAAAGGUAAUACGAAUCUUCGUUUGACCGUUGGCCUACCAUUGUCCCAAGUUGGAGACAAAUUGCUUGUUAUAAAAGUAGUAUCAGUAACAUGAGAGAAAUUAGAAAGCCAUCCCCCAUCUUUCAUUCACCCACCAAAUGUCAGAAACCAAAAGCCUCUCUCUUCCCCGUAUUAGAUUGCUAACUGUCACCACCACUAACUCAACUGUUUUCUUCAACUGUCAACUAAAUUAGCUCUCCUUUCUCUCUUAUGUCUAACUUCUGACUUUCAAGAAAAUGGGAACAAAUAAAUAAAUAAACAAAAAUCUGAUUCACAAAAAAAUCAUCUCAAUGAAAUGAAAUAACAACAUAUGAAGGAUUGAUGAUCUAACUAUUGACUGGCAAUUCUAACUGUUUCUUUCUCAGACUGUUCACCUGUUUUACCUACUUUACAUCUAGCUCUCAGUUUCUGCAACUCAAAUUCUUUGACACCUGCAUCUUUAACUACAAGAAUAUACAAUUAUAAGGUCUCUUGUAAACUUUGUUACAGCAGCAGUUUCACAGUGUUCAUCAACCAAUCAAAUGAAUCUUCUUCUCAAAUAGGCCUCGAACAAUCGAAUAAUGUUUAAGGUACUGUUAUUUUUCUAACAGAGACAAAAAUUCUUCCCAGUUGGUCACCAAAAAUCUUCAUAUAAUGAAUGCCGUUAUGAACAUGUUAACUAAUUAGAGAUCAGGGUUUCUGAGGCUAGAAGUUUUUUCUAAUUUCUUAACUGCAAAACUGCCACAAACCAACUUGUGCACCAUUCACAGAGAUUUCUUUUGCUUCUUCAGCUAGCUUAACUCAAAAACAAAAACCAAAAAAGUACAGAUACCUAACUAUCAAAACUGUGUAAUUUUGAGUUUUUCACAUCCCUAUAACUACCAAUUUCUCAUUUCUAUACUCAGUAGGUGUCAAGACCAUCUUUUUCCCCACCAAUUGGACUCCCUUUGGAAACAUAAAUGGCAAAGAGAUUAUAUUAAAUGAAAAUUCUUUCUUUUUGUUUGUGGAACUAGAAAACACAAUGCAAAAAAAUAAUAAAAAAAUUCCUUGAGUGAAGAUCACUUUUGAGCUUUGUGGGUAUUAGGUAGAAGACAGAGAUGUUAAUGUCAAAACUGUUGGCAUGGAUACAUUCCUUUAAAUGGAUUUUUAUACUAACCUUGAUGGAAUAUAACACCUUUACAUCAUUUAAUACAACUGAAUUACUUCUAUUAUAUGCCUCCUCCAGGAUCAAAGGAUAUAACUCCUUUUCAAGUGGGAUGAACAGGCUAUUAUCCCACCUUUUUCUAUUAAUACAUAAAUUUUGAAAAACAAAAACAAGAAUUAAAUCAUCUAAAAAAAGAGACUAUGAAAGGGAUCCUCAGAAAACGAGCAUCAACAUCAGUAAGUUAUUUUUUGCAAUUAAUAUAUGAGAAAAUCCCACUAUCGAAUUGGACGUGUAGUUGAAGAAAACUUUAUCUUUAUUGCAGUAGGAAAAUCUAUCAAUAGCAUGAAGAACAAGUGCACUCAAAUACCAUUGCUUUCGGCUCAAGUGUUGAUUGAUGCAAUAAACUCACAGGUCCAGCAUGAUGCAAUGUGUUGUCAAGUUCAAGUUUGACAAAUAGAGAGCUGAUAUCCAUAUAUCAAAUAACUACCUCAUCUCCGAGAAUCAUAGGGAAAAGGAAUCAUAAAGUUUUCAAGAGUAAUAAAGAAUGCGGCAGCAUUCACUCUUUUAGCCACUAAUAUGAUGACAAGUUCACCUCCUAUCCCAGAUUUUUCGUGAUCAAAUAGUUAAGUUCCAUGCCACGGUGUAUUCCACAAAGUUAAAAUGAUUAUAUUUUUGUUUGCGUGUAUACAAAGAUAUACCGACAAGCCAUUCUGUUCCACAAAAUCUUUGAUUCUUAUGAUAUAACAUUCAAGGUUUAAUGAUACUAACUAGAAAAUGGAGUGCUCAAACAAGAAACACAUAAUAAUAGCAAGGAACUUUUCAGUUUUUUAUCCACCAGUUGAUACUAUUAAUCAAACACAAAGUUUAUUAGUUAGUUGUCAGUUCUUGAGGAGUCCCCAUUCACUUCCCAACCAAUUUAAUCAAUAAUAUCAACGAACACUAAGUGAUUGAAUACCACUGAAUAUUAACACGGUCAUUUGUUUUCUCCUUCUCUAUACCUUGACUAUUCAUUCCCGUAAUAACAAAACCCCCCAACCACAUAAGCUACUUUUUCAGAAUUAGUAUGACGGGAGUACCUCAAGCUAAAAUCACAUACAGAAAAGACCUCAAUAUUUGGAUGACAAAUGUUAAGUCCAUUAAGAGAUUAGAUAAGCAUACAGCUAAUACUAAAAUGAAAAAAGAAAAAUGCAAACAUAACAUGCUUCAAAGAUAGGGCUACAAAGUGACUUGUAAAACAACUGGGAUUACCUCUCUAGGAUUAGCUAAAAAUUUGGCAUCAACUUACUGUCACAGCCAAUCUAAUAAGGAAAGCACCACUAUGGUUUGGUGGGAAAAAAAAUUCAAAAAAAAAAAAUAAUUCCUGAAUUUUUAUUCAAUAUACAACACAUGCCCACAUUAUGUAACACAUCUCUCAGUUCAACAACCUAGCAAUAUCAAAGAAUACGGUUCCAUGAAAUUAUAAUAAAAUAUGAUAAUUCCUUAUACAUAUUAGAACUUAUAACUUUUCCAUAAAAAUUAAAAAAAAAUUGAUUAGAACAGAUUGGCGAUUAUUAAUAGGAUAAUUUUUCCAUAAUUCAAUUUUAAAAGAAACUUGAAACAAAAGUUGAUUCUUUAGUGAGUUAAAAAAUGAAGUAAUUUAAAUUAUUUAAAACUUUUAUAUGAAAAAGAUGUUUUCAAUGAAUUGAUAAUAGCAGAAACACUAAUGAAUCUUGAAGAAUGGUACUCAAAAUGGACAAGCUUAGGCCAAACAUAAAAGGCAAAGUACUUGCAACAGCAGGAUCAUGCUCGAGUUAUUUCUUAUUAUAUUGCAAGUAAUGAAAAAUAAACAAAUGGGUUGAAAAAUUUUACGUUCAUGAAAUAUGUCAGCGGAGUUUGUUCAUCCUCUUCUUUACACAAAGCCGAUAAGCUAGUCAGUAGGAUAUGAUUUUCAUAUUUCGACCCAUGAAAAGACAUUCAUACAAUGUUAAGCAUGAAAGCAAAUUCAAUUCUGUGUAACAUUAAAGCUAAUUAAGUUCCCAACUCUUAAAAAACUCGUCGUUUCUUUGGGUAAGCUUUGUAAAACCCAAAUGGCAGUCUACCACACUAUGCUGGGACAACAUUGCCAUUGAAGCUACUAACAUCAAUUACAUCCAAAAGCACUACAUUAUACUGAUGUAGUAAGACGAAGUAUGAAGCGUUUUGUUAAACUAAUUGUUUAGGUCCUCAUUACCAAUGUUCAGUGAUAGUAAGGCUCUAUUAUAAAUAUUUUUGGUCCUGACUUUGAUGAAUAUUUACUAAUGAUAUUUUCUAAGGAGCAUAUAUCCAACACAGAGAUUUUACAGAGUAAAAAAAAAAAGAAAAUCAAAAGGUAUUUAUUAAUAUAUAAUAUCCAGCUAUCACAGAAAUGCAACAUGCUUUCUCCAAGAUCUGAAUAAAAUAAUUUACAAGAGUUAUAGUGACCAGCAAGGUUAGUCUGCAACUAAAAGUCACGAUACUAAAGGAACUAUAAUCAUGGAUAAAAUUGCUAAACUACAAUGCAGAAGAUGGUUUUACACCCUCAGUUAAACAAUGAAAUUCACCUUAUCAAUCUAAAAGACAGAAGAUAUAGCUUCUUUAUGAUACUCACAAGGCUGAAAAUUCAACUUCCUGAGUACAAGGACGAUAUGCUACAAAGGUACUAUCACUUGAGAAGGAACCAGGAUUAAAACAAGUGAUUCCAGUGUAUUUAAAUGCCUUCUGCUCGCUUUUAUCAGCUAAAACUAUCUGCAUGAAGGAAUGAAAUAAAUAUCAGUUUUUCUCUCCUCAGUUCUGAUGGAAAAGUUUAUUUCGGAAUUUUUGAGUAAAUUUUAAAAUAAUGGUUAAUUGCUUUCUCCAUACUUAGCACAGGCAACAAAUCAAUUUUUUUCUAUUUGUCUACACAAUAAAUAUUCCCUAGAUUAAAAAAUGUUCAAAUCUAAUGUUUCCAUAAUGGCUUGAUAGGCUGUUGCCUGCUUGGGUUCUAGUUUUAAAUUAUAGUGGGUGGUGAUAUACAAACUAUUAUAUGCAGCCUGCAUUCCUGUCAUUCACAUGGAAUCUAAGGAUGAAUAAGUAAAAUAAUGCUGCAUCAAAUAGAGUGAUCAUAAUCCCAUCAAAAUUAAAUUAAAAACACAAACGUAAUGGGAGUAAUACCGCAUGUGGAGUCGGAUACAGAUGAAGAGAGUGAUCAUAAUUCCAAAUAAUGGGCUGUACCGUAAGAGGGAGUGGACACAGAUGACUCUGGUGUGUUAUGGUUGCAACAAGCUGCAGCAGAAACACAUAAAACUAGUUAGUAGGAUGACCCAAUAUCCGCAGAUGAUAAGUCAGUUCGCAGAAUGUUUACAAGAACUAGAUUGGGGGAGGAUUAGAGAAGAAAAAUACAUGCUCAAAAGGAUCAUCAGUUUCUUCUCUAGAUGGAGGGAUCAAACAUGAACGACGCAUUCGGUACAGAAGAUCCUGGCGAAAAAACACAAUUUCUUGGGUGUAGAACUUGAUUCUGUGUUCAAACAUGAGAAUUUAUAACACGUUGAAACAGUUAGAUCUGAAAGUUACUAUAGUGAAUUCACAAGGCACCAAAUUUUAAACAGCAAGAUUCAACUCAAAAGAAGAGCAUUCUCUGUAAUCCAACAUUACACAGUCCAUGGAAUUCAAAGACCAUGUAUUUAAGACACCGCUGACUAAAAACUCCAAGGGAUCUCUUCUAGAUAACAAUAAACUAUGUUCAUCAAUGAUUUAACUGGACAGUGAUCAGAAAGUUUAACCUGCAAGGAUUACUCGAAAAUAUGGCAUUUGGGAUGUAUUUUUGAAGCUCCUCAGUCAGAUAUUUUGGUAAAGCACACCUGGGAAGAACGGUUGACGGGCCUGAAAUUGUCAAACAGCUAAGUUCUAUGCACGAAAAUAUUAAGGAAGCAUGCAAUAAUCAAUUUAACAUACCUGCAUCAUCAGGACCAGGAAUAAACAGAAACCGACUAUGCUCUUUUAGACGUGGAUGGGCUGCAAUCAUUUGCCCGAGUUUGCCAAACUGCAAUCUAUAUCCAGGUUGCGUGUUUUUAUUUUCAUUUAUGCUAGAAACAAAAUUAUAUGCUUAUAGAAUGACGAGAAAACAAAAAUCAUUCACCUAAGACAAAAAUCAUUCACCUGAGACUAGAAAAGGAAUGAAAAGAGAGAUUGCACGGGUGAGAACAGAAGUUUCCCAUAAAUACAAAUAAUGAAGGAACCACCUCCACACUCUCAAAACCAUCAAGGACAACCUCCAGCUUUCCCAUAACCUUCUCUAAGGACAGGACAGUCAAAUGAUUAAGCCAUGGCAUUCUGAUAAAAUAAGAGUGAAAAGUAGUACAGGUUGUGGUUCACCUCUUCAUUGUCCAACCAAAUGUCAGAGAGUAUAACAAACAUGUCAUUGGCUGCUCUCUUUUCCAGAUCAGCAAGUCUGAGCUAUAAACAACGUAAUAGGAAAACCAUGAUCAAUCAUAUUACUUAAUUGCUACUCGAGGAAGUUCCAGAAGAAACAUCAGAUAUGUAUUAUCAAAGCUGAUAAGGAUACAGUAUCCUCUUUUUUUAGUGUACCACCACCAAAGAAGUCAUAUCCUGCAAGCAGUUUGAGUGACUGAUCCCUGUCCUCGAGUGGAGGAAAUCCACAUGUAAUUACCUGCAUGAUAAAACAACUAUUGGCAUAAAACCAAUAAAGACAGAUAUAGCAACUUUUUCUCAAGAGGAUGCACAUCUCUACCUGAAAAAUACCAUCUACAAGCAUCUCCCCUUCUGCUACAACAAUGGUGUUUUCUGUAAAAAACCCAGUGGUGAUCUUGUAAUAAUUGUUAAUGAAAACAAUGAUUUUGCAUCUCCAUUAUGACUGCAACAAAUUAAAGAAUUUAAGAUUUUUGAAUAUGAGUGAAUUUGAAGAAAAAAAAAAAAAAAGGAAUUCUAAGAUCCAAUGAUACUGAAAGUAAAUUUUGAAACAAAAUCAACAACUAAGGAGGUUCUUAACACACAAAGACAACAUUCAAGAACUGCAGAAGAGUACAAUGGGCGGCAGUAAAAUGGCUUCAAAUUGGACAAAAAGCAAACAGAGUCGAAGAAAUGUUUUGGAAGAAGAGAAAAUUAGAAAGCUGAUAUUCACAAACAAGUUGUAGUACAAAAAAAAAUGCCACCGUGAAGUAAAAGCAUUAGGAACUAAGUCUGGAAAAUGAUAGCUAGUGCAUUGAAGGCAAAGGAUAUUGCUUUAGACAGAUCAAUUUCCACUGAAGCAGCAAGAUCUUCCAAAUAGAAGUGGCCAUCCUCCAACUGAGAUAUUACGCCCAUCACCCAUCUUCUCCCCGUUUGCCCAACCAAAGACUGAAUUGUAGAAAUCUGUCCAGCACCAAAAAUAGCACCAUAUUUUUUUUGGAGAUAUGCAGUCCAAAACAGAAUAAGAGCGAGAGAGAGGAGAGAGACAAACCUCACAACUUCCAAAUUCUGAGUUUACAACAUCAAAAGAGGGUCUGGAGAAAUGUUGGUCACGAGAAACCCUCUGAAAUAACAACAGAAACCUAUCCCGGUACAAUGCUGCUUUUGCAGAAGCCUCACCAUGAAUAGGCAGGCUGCCCGCAUGCCUAAAAUCAAAACAACACUCACUUCAAUGCCAUAAAUCACUAAUACAAUUUAAAUUCCAUUAUAUCAUCUUCCUUCUCUUCUCCUCAAUUUCCAAAUUUACAAUUACACAAUUUUGCAACCUGAACUAGAAUCUGAAUCAUUACACACAUUCGGUCUCUGAUUUAGAAAACUCUUCAAAAAUUAGUAUCCAAUCUUACAUAGAGUCUCGAACAGAAUCAGCAAAAAUAAUCAUUUUUUAUUUUUAAAAUUUUUCUUCUUCAUCAUUUGCUUUCAGAGCUAAAGAAGUGUAUCUGAAUGCAAACCAAGCAUGCACAUAGGCUCGCUUUACAAAAAUUUUAAAAAUGCAAUACAUAGCAGAUGAUAAUAAAUAGGAAAAACUGCAUAAACAUAAACGUACUGAUAAAAGUGUUUCUUGAUAGAAUCGUAUCGAAAUUUAGGAACCAAAAAGGCAUCAAUUACACGAAUAGCAGAAUGAUUAGAAGCAGAGCCACUAUCUCCCUCGGCGGCAGCCUCUGCCUGUAACAAAACACUAGUCACUCGAUUCACGGAUUCUUUAUCUAUUAUCGAAGAUUUCACUGCCAAUUAAUUCAACAUUUAAAACAGAAAUCAAUCAACCAAGCCAAAAAAAAAACCUAAAUUAUAUUACAUAAAAAAAGAAAAAAUAAUGAAUUGAUAAUACGUACAAGAGGAUUCGUGUUCGAGCUGAUCGAGGAGGAGAUCGAUGGCCUCGUCUUCGGCGUCCGGAAAACGAUUGACGAAAGAGAGAAUUUCAUCGAGAGCAUCCAUUCUGAGGCCGUAUCCUCUGAUUUUCAAUUUUUUUUGUAUUUUUUUUCUCGUCUGUCCACUCAUUUUGAUUUUUUUUUUUAAACUAACUUUUCAGUAUGAUUGGUUUGGAUCUCUCGUUCUUUCUUUCAAUGUUAGCUUAGCUAUUGCCAGCCUAAUGGCUACUGCUGCUCAUUCGCUCUGCUUUUGAGCGGGAAAUAAACGGCGGGAAUAUUUUUAAUUAUUUUAUUUCUUCUAAACCCUAAAUACCAUCUCCUGAAUCCUGAUAGUGUGCUACACGCAGUCACGCAGCACAAAAAUAAGGUUGCACGUUUAACGGUCCGAAUAUAAGGCGUAGAUUAAAUAACUUUUUUUAAUCAAAUUUUUGGGUAGAUAUAUUUUCCACCUACAAUUUAAUCCACCGCAUUACAAAUAAAAUUCAAUUUUUAAAUUUAAAAUCAAUAAAAAGUUUAAAUAAUUAAUUAACUAUAUUAUUUUCUUUAUAUAAAUUUCUUGACCACUAUUGACUACUAAAUUUAAACCCACUAAAAUCCUCACUGAAUAGAGUUAGUAAAAUUUAUGGCUCGAGCAUGUCCCUUAUUGAGGUCAGGUUAGGCCUUUUUCAAGCUGAGCUUAAAAGUCUGAAUUUAUGUGUUGCAUUUUUCUAGAAAUUCUUUUCAUUAUAUUUUACAAUUUUAUAAUAUAGAAAAUUUUGUUUUUGCUAGAUUAAGCUUUAAAAGUUUGAAUUAAAAUGAUUUAAAAUUUUAAAUAUAUGUUAUAGGUGGGUUAAAUAAAUGUUAAAAGGCAUAUUUUAAUUAAAAUGAAAUAUUUUUUAAUCUUUUUAGACAUUUAUCAAGCUUUGGGGCCGGGCUCGAGCUUUUUCAAUAAAACCUGAUCUCAGCAUGAGUGUUUAAAGAAUGUGGUUGAAUCAAGCUUGAAACACCUGGAUUCAGGUCGGACAUGCUAUUUCUACCAUCCCUAUCAGUAAACUCACAUUUGGAUUAAAUUUUAGAUUUCUAAAAUAUCCAUAGACGACAAUUGGAAAAACUUGGGCAGGGGAUGAAUUUCUAGGCGCCUCUGAAUAAGAUAAAUACAUUGUUAAUAAGUUGUGCUGAGCUUUUACUUUAAAACUACUUACUUUCUUUCUCCUUUUAUUUGCCAUAAAUUUAUGCAAUAUAUCAAUCCACUUUUUUCGGAGAUGAUACUUGUAAUAAGAUUGGAUGAUGCACUUGGUGUAAUAUACUGGUUUUUGGUGGAUUUUUAGAGAUGAUAUGUAGAAAAUAUCAUGUUGGAUAUAGAAAUAGUUAAUUUGAUUUAUUUUCAUUAAAUCGUGUUUCCUAUAAUUACUAAACAAAAUAAAAUGAAUUGAUUUAGCGGAAUGGUAAAAUAAGCCUAUAAAUUUGUAGGGGAAUUAAUGAAAUUAAAAAUGGUUGCAAGGUUAUUCACGGUGGAGAUUUUGAUUAUAAAAAGUGUCCGUAGAAUAUGAGAGGUUUUUUAAAUUUAUUUGCGAGGCCACUUAGUGCAACCGCUAGUAUUUGACUCAUUUUUGGCUCAUUUUUUUUUAUCAAAUUUAAUUCAUAUAUUGCUUUAGCAUAGUCAUAUCGUCACUUUAAUCGGUUCACUUUCACAAAUUUUACUCAAAUUUGAAAAAUCCUAAUUUCGACCACAAGCUUGUUGAAAGCCAUUCAUUGUGUUUAGCACCUUUUCAAGUUUUAACCAAAUUGAAGGCAUACAUUGCUUAGCUAGAAUUUCAAUAAUAAUUAAAACAAUUAUGAUUAUUGAUAUAAUAAUUAACAACAUGAAACUAAAUACUUAUAGAUUCAAUCUUAUUUUUUUAAUAAAAAGCGAGUAUUAUGUUUCAGGGGUUAAAAUUAAAGAUAACACACUAAGAGGCUUGGAUAGUCCUCUAAGCAAACGCAAGAUUUAGAACACUUAAGAGCAAAUUUAGCUUAGAAUAUGUCGAAAUCGGAAGUUGUCGUGCUGGAAUUAGCAUCUGUACCUAUGAAAUGAUCAAAAUAACAACGUAUAUGAUAUAUGCCUAAAACAUAUUGAGUAACCAACAAUGAAUCUGACUCCACCACCAACGGUGACAAACUAGUCUCACUAGCAAGUCCUAUGCCGAAGCCAAGUACUUCAGUCUCUCCAAUAUUCAUAUCAUCCAAAAAUUCUCCCUGAUCUAUGUAAAUCAAGGUAGACUGACUAGCGCUUAGCUCAUUUUUUUUUAAUCAAAUUACAAUAUUUAGUAUUGCAUUUAUAUUUAAAUCACCUCUAUAAUAGCAUUCCGAUGAAGAUGAAGUAUGAAGAUUAAACGUCAAAUGAAUGAACUAAUUUUGUAGAAAUUACUUACUAUCAAAUAAGAUAAUGUUACUAACUGAACAUGAAACCUCUUAUUGUACACUUGAGUUGUUCAAAAUUAUCUGAAAAUUUAACCAUUAAUCUUAAUGCAAGGACCAUUAAAAAGAAAACUAAUGCUAACUAGAAACUUGCUGCAAUAAACACGAAACAUGAAAUUAUAAAAUUGCAAUCCUAGAAAUCAUGAAAAUCAUGGACUAAUAAAUAUGAAACAUAUACUAUUAAUCGUGAAAUUGGGGAUCAUUAAACUUGGACCAAUAUAACUUGAAACUUAAGGAAAUAAACAUGAAGCACAAGAUCAUAAACUUGCAAUCCUAAAAAUUAUGCAAAUCAAGAACUAAUAAAUACGAAACGCAUACCAUUAACCUUGAUAUUAGAAUCAUUAAACUUGAAACCAACGUAACUUGAAACUUAAUAAAAUGAACAUGAAACAUAGGAUCAUAAACUUGCAAUCCUAAAAAUCAUGCAAACCUGGGACUAAUAAAUACGAAACAUAUACCAUUAACCUUAAUAUUAGGACCAUUAAACUUGAAAGUAACGUAACUUGAAAGUAACGUAACUUGAAACUUAUGGCAGUGAACAUGAAACAUAAGAUCAUAAACUUGCAAUAAAAAAAAUUAUUACAAAUCAUGGACCAAUAACUAUGAAACACUUGCCAUUAGUCUUGAUAUUGAGACUAUUAAACUUGAAACCAAAAUCACUUGGAAUUUAGGGCAAUGAACAUGAAACAUAGAUCUUGUAAAUAAUGGACUGAAAAAUAUCAAACAUCUAUGAUUAAUCUUGAAAUUUGGAUCAUUAAACUUGAAACUAAAGUAACUUGAAACUUAUGGUAAUGAAUAUGAAACUUAGGUUAAUUAAUUUGCAACCCUGGAAAUCUUCCAAAUAAUGGACUAAUAAACAUGAAACACUUAUCAUUAAUCUUGAAAUUGAGACCAUUAAAAUUGAAACUAUUAUAACUUGAAACUUAGGACAAUGAACAUGAAAUAUAAGAUUAUUAACUUGAAACUAAAUAUGAUUAACUUGCAACCCUGAAAUCUUCCAAAAUAAUGAACCAAUAAAUAUGAAAACACCUAUCAUUAAUCUUGAAAUUAGGACCAUUAAACUUGAAACUAAAGUAACUUGAAACUUAGGGCAAUGGACAUGAAACAUAAGAUCAUUAAUUUGAAAAUGAAGAUCGUUAACUUGCAACCUUGAAAAUUUUCCAAAUAAUGGACCAAUAAAUAUGAAACACCUGCUGUUAAUCUUGAAAUUGAGGUCAUUAAACUCGAAACAAAGUAACUUGAAACUUAGGGUAAUAAAUAUGAAAUAUAGGAUCAUUAAUUUGAAAUUAAAAAAAAUCAUUAAUUGGCAACCCUAUAAAUCUUCUAAAUAAUGGACCAAUAAAAAUGAAACACCUACCAUUAAUCUUAAAAUUAUGACCAUUAAACUUAAAACUAAAGUAACUUGAAACUUAGGGUAAUUAACAUGAAACAUAGGAUCAUUAACUUACAACUCUAAAAAUCUUCCAAAUAAUGAACCAAUAAAUAUGAAACACCUACAAUUAAUCUUGAAAUUAUGAUCAUUAAACUUGAAACUUAUUUUUUGUCAAUAUAAAAUUAAUUUUAUAUUAUUAUGUGGCCUUUACUACUAAAAUAAUUAUUAAUUAUUUAUUACAAUUAAUUAUUAUAUUAUUUAUUAUUAUUUAAUUUAUUUAAGGGGCAACCGGUGGAUUGGUGUUAUAAUCCGGUAGACAAUUUGUAGGCGUCAGAUCAAAUCCAACGACAAUUUAUAUUUUAUUUCAAAUAACGACUCCCACGUAGGGGCCCACAUGCAGACUUUUAUAAUUUUUAAUAUAAAAAAAUGGCAAAGCUGCGUAAUAGAUUUUUAGAGAGAGAACUGAUCUUCCCCAUCGGUUUCUUCGUCAUCUUUGUUUUCAAAAUCUCAACAUCCUCUUCAUUUCAUUCCUCCAAGACUUCAACUUUCUUCUCUUUUGACUCAAUGUCAAUUGACCCAUUUGAGGUUUUAACGAUCGGAACCGAACCGUGGGGGUUAAAGAUCGGUUCUUUUGCGGCUUUUGAGGCUUCCUUUUAAAGUUUGGAUCUGGAUGGGAGGGGUUUCAACGAUUGGGCCAUGACCGACGCGAGUGUGACUGCCGGUGAGUUGAGAGGGGGCGCAGGGGCCGCUGAAGAGGCAAAGGAAGAGCCACAGGAGAAGGGAUUAGAAGUGGUUGCUGCUUUCGAAGAAGAAGAAAGCGAGAAAAAUGAGAAACGAAGAGACUGUAAAGGUGAUUAAGUGAGAAAGUUUUGUGAGUUUUUGAUGGAUGUUGAUGCCUGUACGGGGUCUGGAGAUCCUGUUCCAGCACUUCUCUUCAAUUGCCGGUGAAGAAAAAAGGAGAGAUCCUAUUCCAACGUUUCUCUACAGUUGCUUGUGAAGAAAACUUUUUUCUAAUUAGCUUUUGAAUGUAUUGAGCAAAGAUCACCUUAUUGAUUUAAUAAAAUCAGAUGGCUCAUGAACUCAUCGUUUUUUAUGCUCUCAAUAUUAAUAAAAUUACAAAGGUUGUGAUAAACAAAGAAAAGUUACGGCAGCAUCAGCAAGAAAUAGUGACAAAAUGGAAAUUAGUGUGAAUGUGCAAUCAUCUGAUUGUUUUAUUCCUUUUUUCCCCUUACUUUAAGUUGUACUAAAAUGAAUUAUGGAAAAGUGGAAAUCCCAAAUCUUUUGGCUUGAAUCAGAUGGUGAAAGAAUCCAGUGGGGGAAGACCAGUUCUCUCUUUAAACGCAGCUUUACUUUUUCAAUAUUAAAUAUUAUAGAAGUCUGCAUGUGGGCCCCUAUGUGGGAAUCGAUAUUUGAAAUAAAAAUAUAAACUGCCGUUGGAUUUGAUCCGACGGCUACAAAUUAUCUCCCGGAUUAUAAUAUCAAUCCUGGAUUGGAAAACUACUUGGAAACGGCGGUGUUCAAAAUUGAAAAUUAAAAUCAGUCUUUUCAAACCUCCCCUUGUUCACGUGCGUCGUUGAAUUAGGUUGACCGCAGGCUUGCGUUGGACUUGAUCGUCGUCAUCCGCCUACUCUGGUUAGCAGCGGCAUUCUCCCUUUGCCUUCAAAAGGAGGACAGCUCAAUUAAAAUUUAGCCAGUGCUAUGAACACGGAUGGAUUGUUUGCACUAGAUUCUCAGUUUUGCUUGCGCAUGAUGGCGAAGCCAAGCCGUAUAAAGGCCUCCGAUCUUGGCCUUCGUGAAGUGGCUGCCAUCUCCGAGUCGAUCACUGAUUGGUCUUGAAAAUGCAAAGGUUCGUUCUAUUCCAAUCUAUUUUGUCACUCCGCCCAGCCUUGGACAGCUGGAACGGAUACGAGUACUUGCUUUCAAGCGCUUUCGCUUUGCCUCACUACAGCGAGGGGGUUCUAUGAGAGUUGCGGUCCAAUGAUUUUCGGCUUCUACUGAAAAAUUUCUUUAGACCAACAGAUAGUACUGGAAUUUUGAAGGUACUGGAGUUGUUUUUUAAACAUGACCCACCUUGGCCAGUGGGCUCGUAGACGAGCCAUUGCCAAUCCAUGCAGUAAAGCCUGAGUGCAUGCGAUUGAGCCUCAACAUGUUAGGACUCGAUUUUCCUUCUAAUAAAAUUAGAUAAGGGUCUAUUUUUAUCCUCAUCAGUUGGAUAAAUUAGAUAUCCCUCCCUCCAGGAUUAAUAUCAGCGUAUCAAAAAAAAAAACGUGACCCACCUUGAAUUUGACUUCUUGCUUUUACUGUAAAGGUCUAACCAAUUUAUCAUUAGGGAAUAUCCCAUUCAAUAUCGUAGAAUCAAACAAAGCAUAAUACUAUUAGAAAUAAUCUAAUAUAUGUAAACCAUUUUGACCUACAAAACUUGCGUUAUUGCUUUUUUGCCAGUGGAAUAAUAUGUAAUAAAAGAGGAUGACAAUAAUUAAUUUAUUGAAAGACAACGUAAUAAGCAAUAAGCAUAUACCUCUAUUUGCCACUUCACAAGCGUGCAAGAAAACAUCAAUAGGCUUCAACAAUCACAUAAAGUAAACACACCUUCAAGUAUGAAUAUACAGAAAACAGGAAGAAGCAAUAGCUUUAAUAUUCAAACAAGCAUACAAAUCUUGUCUCGUCUUAUGUUUGGAACCUCAGCAUGCUCCAGCUCUCCGGCCUUUCAUGAACCUCUUCCAGUGCCUGGUGACUUCCUCCUGAGUCUCUCUCACACUCUUCUUAAGUGGUUUAUCACCCUGAGUUUCGUUGACCAUGGGUGUGACAUGGGCAGUUUUCGUGGAUACACGACUUGGAAGCGAGUCAAUUUCCUUCAAAACUUCCUCGAUGUGUGAGAUGAGUCUUUCCACCAAGCUACGGCUGAAAUCCUCCCUGACAACCACCCGAAGAACCGCCACAUUUUCAGCAUUAGCAGGCAUUGUAUAGGCCGGAACUAUCCACCCAAACUUUCUCAAACCCUCGGAUAUCUCAAACACGGUGUGUGCGCUGCUGUCCUUCAAAGAAAAGGCUACUAAGGGUACGCCAACAUCCUUGGAGAGAAUUUCAAAGCGCCCUGUUUUCUCUAAUCCUUCUCUUAGCGCUCUAGCAUUCCCCAUGCAAUUUUCCAUAAUGUUCUUGUAACCCUAGUUUACAGGACAAGAAAAGGACAUACCUUGAGACUUGAAAUAAAAGUAAAGGUAAUUUCCUGGACAAAUACAGGCCAAAUUGUACAUUUUAUUGAAUAUAUGAGCAGUCAGAAUCAUUUCAAAUCUAGCAAACACUAGUCAGUUUAAUAUCCAAAAAACAUGAGACAACAAGAAAAUUGAUCCCAUCACAACUGAUCGAUUUUGGUGCAUCAGUUCUCAACCUCAUUUUGUCAAUGUCUACCGGUAACAAACUAACUUUAACUGAUGAACUUUAACAAUAUGCCAUAUGAACACUUACAAAUUAACAGGAUUUCAUAGUACAUGCAAAGUGUCAUAAAAGUAGGAGGAAUGUAUCACAAAGAAACUUGAGAGUUUUUUAUGAUCAACACAACAAAAAGAUGGAAUUACCUCAAAGCCAAGCCGUAUAAACUGAUAAUAUUGAGCAAUUAUUUGACUGGAGCCUGCCAAAUAGGAAUGAUUGUCAAUUACAAAAAUACAACUACAAUGGUCGCAAAAAUAUCAAAUUUACAAGUCAUCUUCCAUUCAAUGGAACAACACAAUGUUCUUGUAACAGAUUACUUGACAGAUGCUCUUGUAAAACGAUAUAGGCCCAUUGGUGUGUCUUAGCUCAAACGAAAAACAGUAAGACCUCUAGAAGGUAGUACAGAAUAGUUUAGGUUGAAAUGCAGAUGGUUUGGGUUUCAUUUUAUGCAAUAUUUAAAAAAUAUAUAUAUAUAUUGAGAAUUUAGAGAUUUUUUUAAAAGCAAAAGACAAAUAGCCUUCAAAGCAAACAAUAAAUUUUUUAAAAAGGCAAGUUUUGAGGCUAAAGUCUAUCAAUUGAUAAACAGUGAGAAUAUAGUUAAUGACAUAAUGACUCUUGAUGACAUUAGUUUUGGCAUCACUUCUUAUGAAUUCUUAAAGCUCUAAUUUGAAUUUUCCAUUGAAAAACUCUUCAAACUUCCAUCCAUUUUUUUCAGUAAGUUAUCCUUAGUAUCUGCCCAAUCCUACAACUGUUAACAACCAAUACAGGGGAAAUGUCAUCAAACUAUUUGAAUUUUCCAUUGAAAAACUCUUCUAACUUCCCAUCCAUUUUUUUCAGUAAGUUAUCCUUAGUAAGUAUCUGCCCAAUCCUACAACUAUAACAACCAAUACAGGGGAAAUGUCAUCAAACUCUAAAGCAGCCACCAAAACAGAACGUAAACUUAACCCCCAAGUCCUAAAUCUUAAAACUUUAACCCUAAAAAGAUUCACUGUCCUCUAUGAUUAGCACAAACAGGAGAAAUAACACCCUAAUGAAAUGCUUGAAAACACAAAAGUUUACAAGAUUAUGGGUAAAUGUACACUAACGAGCUUUUGUUCUGGUUUAGGUAAGAUAUACUUAAAAAGUAUGACUUUAAAGUUUGAUAUAGUUUAAAAUUUAAAGUUUAGCUGUAAGAAUAGCCUUGAAUUGUGUGUUUAAAACUUUAAAAUCAUACUUAAAACUUACUUUCCUUCCUAAACCUUAACAAAUGGCCUUGCCCCCGAGCACGUGCCCCUUACCUUCAAUCAUUUUGUCUGUUCCAGCUUUUUAGCUGGGGAUUAGUGGUUGCGUUUGCAAGGCUAUGUUACCGCAUAAAUGUGAUACCACUCAUAGUGGUGGCAGGUUUGAGCUUUCAUUUUAAUAUUGAGGUGGCUGCAUGAUUUAGGGUGUGUGGAUUCCCACUUCUUUAUGCAUGCAUACACAUCUAAUCUGCAAUAAUUUAUAACUAAAGCAUCUAAAAAGAAUUUAAAAUCAUUGUCUGAUAAACACGAACAAGAAGUUAAAUAAAUUGCGUGUGCUCAACUUAAAACAUAUUUUAGCGUUAUAUAGUCAAAAACCAUAUCUUUAUUAUAAACAUGCCUUUUUGAAAAGAUUACACAAAUAAAAAAGCUUGUGAAAAUCACCAAUUGAUCUGUAUGCCAUGGAAAUUCUAGAAACAAGAUGCAAUAUCUACAUAAGUGCUUCACAUAUUAGAAAAUAAAAUCCGAGUUAUCUAGUAGCAAAAUUAUCCUUUAAACAUACUGUUUAUAUUUAUAAUGAUGAGAAAGCGUAAACUUAUGCACACAGGUAGAUGGAGAAAUGCUUAGUUGAUAUAUGAAAUGAACAUAUGCGCAGACAUGUAUGUGUAUUACCUUUUGAGAAGUUGAGGGUGAAAGUCGGUUGAUCAGAUCCAAGGUAGUUGAUGUGAAAGACAAGUUCAUCCGGCAAGUCAUCUUUGGUCCUCCAGACAACCCAGCCAACACCUGCAUAUACAAGGCCGUACUUGUGACCACUGACAUUAAUGCUCUUCACCAGUGGCAAACGGAAAUCCCAUUCAAGGUCUGGAUAGAGAAAAGGAGCAAUAAAUCCGCCGCUAGCAGCAUCAACAUGAAUGGGGGUGUCCCAACCGGUCUCCUCAUUCUUUUUGGUGAGGAGGUCAUGAAGAAGCUUAACAUCCUCAAAUUCUCCCGUCAAGGUUGAUCCCAGAAUGGCUGCAACACAAAUGGUGUUCUCAUCUACCAACUCAACAGCUUUCACAGGAUUCAUCACAUAAUAUCCCUCUUCCAGUUUCACCUCCUUCAGCUCAACCUCAAAGUACCUCGCAAAUUUCUCCCAGCAUACCUGCAUAAGUCAUGUGAAACAUUAAGCACAACAAUAAAAUCUCAUUGUUACAAAACAACAGCCGUAGUUCAUGCAAGACAUUGCUAACACCACAAAUGCACAAAACCAAAUUUAAUUUAUAAAAAAUUGUGUGCUUGGCAACAAUCUAAAAUUCACCUGCACAUUAGCUCCAGUGACUAUAUUGGGCUUAUCAUAGGGUUUGCCUUGCUCUUUUCUCUUCUGCUGCCACUUCCUUUUAAAAGCCAAGCCAGCAAGCAUUAUUGCCUCUGAUGAACCUACAGUCCCCACGCCCACUGCAGUCUUGUCAUCCGCAACUGGAGUAUUAAAUAGGUGGGCAAUCAUAUUCACACACCGAUUCUGCAGAAUCAGUUAAAACAAUUACUUUAUGGUUAAAAAAAAAGAAAAAGGAAUACGUCCCUAAAUACUCAGGAUAUAAAUCGAUGCUGUUCAAUCAGUAUAAUACGUUGUCCAAUUAUUUGACAAUGCUUAAUAAAAAAACCAGGAAAUGAUUCAGCUGCAAUAUCUUUACACAAAGGGCCAUUGACUCAGAGAUACCUGGAGCUCUGUGGUUACAGGGUAUUCAUCCAUGUCAACAUAGUUUUUAUUAAUCGAAGCCAUGACAAGCUUAUCACACUCGGGCUCCAUCCAAGUGGUCACAAAAGAUGCCAAGUUCAGCCUUGGAUUUCCAUCUAACAUCAGCUCAUCAUUUAUUACCUGAUAGGCUGCCUCCUUUGGCAU
rnacentral:lncRNA from 1 species